ACUCAGUCACUUAUUUCAGUUGAGAAUAUAACCUGAGAAACAUAAAAUGAGUAAGUCAGUCCUAAGUGAAUUAUUAUCCUCUCAAAGUUUUUCUGCAUUUCAAAGUUGAAGAUAGUAUUUGCACUUGGGUUUUGGUUCUUCUAUACCCUGAAAUAGGAUGGAAAAUGAUGACAGAGUAGAGCACUUUGUCUCAGCCACUUUUUUUUUCUCUUUUUUGAGAAGCAGAGAAGUCUCUGACUCAGAACGUAAUACAGAAAAGAUCAUAGACUAAACUUCUGCUAUGGCCCCCAGGAAGUCCUGCUGCAGCCUUUUGUUGUUGUUCUGUCCUGCUAAGGGGUGGUGCACAAAGCUGUUCUUCACUCACCCACUGACAUAGUUAUUGGACACUCGGACAUCCCCCUGAUUGUGACCAUGGAGAAGACCCAGAGCAAAUGAACCUCUGUGGCCACUUCACAAGCAUCAGGAAAGCUAAUUACAACAUGUAAGACAGGGCAAAGAAGCACCAGAAAAGGAAAGGAAAAAGAGGCCUUGAAACCCACAAGCAGUCAGAGGAAAGUCCUGGCCUUUAUAGUUCCCGUCAACAGCAGGAGAAGCCUAGAAAAGGUUGUACAGUGAAAUCUGUGGCUCUGUGAUUCAUUACUUCAAGGGGAGGUUUAACAUAGCACAGGAGGCUGAGCAGCCCCAGCAUUUCUGUGCCUGGAACAGAGCUGCUUGGUCUCGUGGCAGUUGGACGGCGCUCCAGGAUCACAGUUUUUCCCAGGCGGCAGACUUGAGCUUUGUGUACCUAGACUUUUUUGAAAUAAAAAACAAAACAAAAAACCCAAAAACAUAAACCCCAAACAAACAAAAAACCAAACUAAAAACUCAAUCCCCACUGACAGGGUUGCAGCCUCCCUGCUGCACCUACACUCUGGCAUGGCUCCCAGAACUGGGGUCCGUGUGGCAGCAGUUGAGAAUCAUGAUACUGGGGAACAGCAGAAGGCUACUAAUUAAAUAAAAAGCGGGUUUAUUGCAAGUGGUGUCAACAAUAUGGUGGUAACAGCAGUACAUGUUUGUGGACCUUCCUCUAAGAUAUUUUUUUUCAGGUGUGAGCAGCUUUGUGUUGUUUCCUGCCUGGCAAUUAGGUGAAAUGCAAUUGCAUUAUGGUGCUAUUUUCAUCUGCAUCUUUGAAACAUCAGCAGAAGUCAGUUUGAGUUCAAGGCCAGAUGGAACAUGUUCUUGGAAGAAAAAUCAGUGAAGAUUACUAAAUACACACGCACCAUAUCCUAAUCAAGAACUCCCAAACUGAAAGUAGUUGCAGCUGGAGAUAAACAAUAGAAUGGAGACCUUAAAGAACUUUUAAUGCACUGCACGCUACCUGCAGCUGCCUCUUCAAUAAAAGUGAGAUCUCCUUCUGGAUUGUAUCCUUAUGUGGAGCUCCAGUUUCCAAAUCCUUCUUUCAGAGACUCCCUGAACCUGGGAUGGUCACAUUUUUUGCUACUAACUCUUCCAAAUUCACCAUCUGGCACUUCUCAGUGCUGAAGAGUCAAGAUAGUUGUCAGCAGCAAUGCAAAUCAUUGUUGUUUUGUUAAACUAACCUAUAGUACAUCCCCUCCUUUAGAUUUUUUUUCUUUUCUCUUGCUUCCAGAGGGUAUAAAUAAUAAUGUCUAAAAAUGAAUAAACACACAUGCAAAGACAUAUAAUAUCUCAGUCACAUUCCAAAGUCCUUGCUCAGGGUUUUCAUUCAUUUACAAUGCCAAUAAAACUCCAACUGAGGUGAAUAUGAUUUUGAUAGACUAAAAACUGAGUAAAAUUUGCAGGAGAAAUUUGGCAGAAAUUUGCAAUAGCAGCAUUGGCAAUCCAACUCAGAAUGCUUGUUAAAAGGAAAGCUAAGAUGCUAUUUGUGGCUUGGAAAAAAAAAAGUUUAUUUUAAGGACUUGGCUUUUUUCCUCCUGUCACUGUAUCCUUUCUCAGUAUUAGCGGAAUCAUUAGCACUUAUGGAUAAAGUUCUGAAAAUUUGAAAGUUCUGAAAAUCUUGCUACCUUUCACAGCAACAAUGAGAAAUACACCUCUGGCAAACGAGUAAGUUCUCUAGCAUAGACAGACAGGGAGCCCAAUGAAUAUCUUUGCUUUCAGUCAUUUUGGUGAGUGAGUGGGCUGGUUCGUUCAGUGGUUUGGUUAAACAGCAUUCAUUCCGAAUACAAUGUCUGCCAACUCCCUUGCACAAAGCAAGCUUCUUCAGGAAAACCUGUUGAGGACAGGCGCCUAGUGGAGGUUGUAUUUAGCACCUGUGGGUUCCUGCUGCCUAUGACACUGUGAAUUAGCUUGAUGAGGCACUGUGGAGUGCUGGAGCUGCCAGCCUUUGUCCCCUGGGACUGUCACUGUGCAAAGUUUUGAUCUCCUCCUACCUAACAGGCAAAUGAGAUUAUUUUCUCAGAUACAAAUCUUUAUUAAUUAUUAUAAGAGAUUUUUUAAAAAUUAAAUAACAAAAUGUAGUCUUGGAGAAGUGAGCACUGCCACAGAAGCAGUUAAGGAUCUGUCUGGAGAUCUUUGAAAUUUCUGUUAGUGGGAUUUCCACGCUGAUACAAUCUAACACUUUUUGGGGACUGUAUACUUCUGUUCUGCUAGGAUAUCAGAAUUAUCAAUCUUUUGAUUAUAAUAUUCAUGAUAGUCAAGCAGGCCAGAAUGAGCCUUAAAAUGUAAUCUACUUUAACCAUUUCCAUAGUUGCUGAUACAAUAUCCUCGUGCAGCAUACCCUCUCAUUAUGUCUCCAUUUUGCCUUCACAUACUGCUCUCUGCAUAGUUUUCCCUUUUCCACUUUUUUCAGACCUGUGGAUCUCAUUCUAACCUGAGGUCUAUCACUGUAAAUUUAAAGUACUUCAAUUUUUUUGCCAUUACGUGUUUGCACUGAUACAAAUCACAGCAGCCUCAAAUCCUUGGCAUUGCUUAUGUUCUUCUCUUCUGUUACGAUCUCGCUGUGCCCUGUGCGUGACUGAUCACUGCAGCUCACUCCUGCCAGAUCCUCAGGCUUCUCCACCCAAAUCAUCCUCAUAUGACAUUCCUGCUAACGAAGGGCAUGUGCUGCAGACUGCCUUCCUCAUGCACCUCUGCCCCAUCUUCUCCUUAUCCCUCAAAAGGGAAGCCAUGAGAAGAAAGGAAUACAGUAAAAACCAUGGGAGACACAGGGAGGAGGAGAGAGCCUGAGGUUCAACAGCUCCAAACUAAUCUGUCAACAAAAUCUCAUUAGAGUAAUAUAAGGUAAGUCUGUCAUUGUACUACCAAAGCAAGCCCAUCCUUGUCCCACAUUGUUUUGCUACCAGAACUUUUUUCCCUGAUCCCACCACCUCCUUGCUUAUCCUGGAUGGUCACAGCCCUUCCCUGUCCACUUAGGGAGAGGCAGAGAGCCAGAGGGGCCCAGAAUCCCCACACCUAACUAGUGGGUUUGUGGUUCUAGAGAGAGGAGAGGAGUGAAAUGAGUUAAUGUGGCAGUUUUUAGAGCUCAGUAUAGUGCACAUUGUUGCUCUCAGCUUUUGUUUAUGCAGCUCUUAGUGCUGAGUAAUACCUCAGUUUUGUAUCACUGCAGCUACAGAUUUAGCAGCUGCUUUUGCAGCUUCAGACCACAAGAUACAGUCUGACUGACAACCAGUAAAGAGAGGAUCCAGCUUCCUUUUAGUAGCAUAAUACCAAAUGUAUUUUCUCUUUCACAUUGUCACACAUCAUAUUCAAAAUGAGUGCCAGGCUCCGUGAAAGAAAAAGUUUUCUGUUUUGCACCAGAAGAGCCUGAAUCUUACAGGAAAGCUUUCCCAGCCUGCAAGGAGCCCUGGUGAUUGCUUUGUGAGGCCAAAAGGUAAAGUGUAAACCUGAUGAGCUAAGAGGUUUCUCCCUUUGUCUUCAAGUCACACUGACUCUGAUAUCUGAUAGUGGAUUUUUUUCACUUAGCAAAACCUAUGGGUAGCAGAGGGCAAGCAUUUUAAAUAUGGUAUAUUUUUCUCAUUUAAUUAAAAAUUUUUAAAUAUAUAUCUUUCAGACACUAGUGAACCUCAAAAAGUAGUGAGCUGAGCAAUUUUUGAAAUGGCUUAUCAUGCUCACAAGCCAAAUGACCUUUGUGGAGGAAGUCAAGAAAUUUAUGAAAAAGCUUGUUGAGUUUUGUGUUCAGUGUGGACAUCUACUUCAAAACCUCCUAAAGAGAAGACACAUGUCCUGAUCCAGUAAUUGAAUACAAGAAUUUAUUAAACUUUUAUUUCUUGGGUUAUGCAUCCAUGAAAUACAUGAAUGUACCAUUCAGCUGAAGGUUCAUGAAUUAGGUUUAUGGAAGGGCUAUUUUUUUUUUUUUAAUCUUACAUUACCUAAUGGUUAAAGUUAAUCCAGAAUGUUGCUGAAUGUCUGAAGCCACAAGUAAAGUUGUUUUUAUGUCUGGCCAUUUUGGGAAGGUAGACUGUCUUGUUUUUUUAGAUUAAACCAGAUAGAAAAACCUGUUUUCACAUAUGAGAUUUGGACAGACAUUUUUCAGUUUUCUUUUACUGCUGUUGUCUUAGGUUGCAUAUAAAUUUAAAAAAAAAAAAAAAAAAGCAACCAAAAAAACCCAAACCAAAAAACCAACAACUCUGAGUCUUGCAAUGCAAAGAAAAGGGUCUAAAGGAUGCAGAGAGACGUAUUAUAAUUUAUUGUUCCCUGUAAUUUAUAAUUAUAGUAUUGUAACUGUAUCAGCUAUGAAGAUAUUGCAUUAAUUUAUUUUAAGAAGAUUGCAACAUGAGCUGUAUGUGUAUCCACAUAAAUAUUAUUUGACUUUUAAUGCAAGGGUAUGGAAAAGCUAAGAUGCUGAGAUAAGACGUCAGUGCUGUACCUGGAAGAAACUUCUGCAGACCAAACUUGGCCCAGUUUCCAGUUUUAUUGAAGCCAGAUGCCUUGCAGCAUCUAGCUCAAAAAUCUGUGAUGCUUUGUCUAAUCUAUAAUCCCCGGGAACAGCCAGCACCCAAGAUACACCAUGGGAGGGUGUCCAGGGGGCUGCUACUGCAGUGGUGCAGAAAUGAUGGGCUUGGUGCAAAGGUCUUGUUUUUUGUGUAAUUUGUGAAGAGCAUUUAACUCCGUGGGAGAUUUCUUGGGAGGAGAUAGCGACUGUAAUCUCUCUGGAUAUCGGAGGAUGUGUCUGGACAGAUGUUUGGAGACAAAUUAGCAUGAAACCCUUUGCAGUCCCCUUAAGACACCUUGCAAGAUCCAGGGCUGAAGCUACACAGGGCUUGGGAAGAAUCUGUGUGGCACCAGAGCUUCCCUCCCUCCUCUGCAAAGGGUAUCCCAGGACAGGGGAAGACACUGGCCUGACUUGGCUUCUCCCAGCUGCCAUAUGGUUCCUCAAUGACUGUGUCCAGCUGCCACAAAUUAAAGCUGUCCCUCGGCCUCAGACUGCUGGAGGCUACCCUGGAACUGGGCAGGGAAUCAAAGGAGCACAUCCGACUGACAGCCCAACCGUACUCUGCCAUGGCAACUACUGAAGUCUCUGUGUUGGGCUUGGGACGUGCAGAUUUGUAUGCAACAGAGCUGUCCAGUCCAGCAGUACUUUCAAGGCUGAAAUAAAUGUUGGUGAACUUUUUUUUUCCCCCUCUUAAUCUCUUCCAAUUUUACAUCCCCACUGGUCUCCAGAAACAGGUAACUUCACUUACCACAGAAAGCUGUUCUUGAGGUGUGCUGGUCUGCCAAUGGAAACUUUAAUAAGACAGUUUUCUCUCAUGGGAUUUCCCUCUCAGGGUUUGGGCCUUUUGUUUUUUUGCUGGUUUGGGGUUUUUCCCCUUGUGAGUAAUGGCACAACUACUCAUAGGCUUCACAUGAGAGGAAGUUGCCGUGUAAUGGCCUCGUUUUGAAGGUACAAGGGAUGAGAUAAUUGGUUUCUAAGUUAUAGCGGUUGGCCUGUCUGUAAGAUUGAGUGGAUUCUACACCUACACUAAUACAAACACAUUGAGUCAAAGGGGUAAAAAUUCUUGUCAGAGAUGUGCAAUAGUCGGAGAAAAACUAGCAUUUAGGGAAAAGAAGCAUUGUUUAAAGGAAAAUUGUGAUGGUAUAUGGCCUGAAAUCAAUCCACAACACAAGAUCAGCACAUAGGGCUGCAUCCUGGCUUUCAGUGGACAUAAUCCCAUCCUUUCAGUGGACACAACCCCAGUUAUUGGAAGGAAAUAUUAUUGAAACCAAGUAUGAAACUUUCUGGAUCCUUAUCCCAGUUUGUCUUCUGUAUGGUAGUAUAGAGGACCAAUACAUAUCAUUGUUUUCUUCAAACUUGGAACAGUUGCAGAGUGCUCUAGCUCAAGAAUCUAGGGUUUUGUAUACUGUACUUCAUCAAAAGGAAUCAUUUAAGAGGGAAGUAAUAUGGUGCAUAGCUUGAGACCAAGGCUAGCAGGAGAAAAGUUUAGAUAUAUUUAUUUAUGUUACUUUCUUCAAGACAGGAGAGAAAAUAGUCCACAGAACUUGUGAAAAUGCUGAGUGUUUCUGUCACAAAUUUGAACACAUUAUGAUUUUCAGCAUUCAGACUAUAUUCACGUAUUCAUCUACAUCUGAAACACCUCCUCCCACCCUCUCCAAAAAGGAAAAAAAAAAAAAGAAUGAAACCCCAACAUAUUUUACCUUUUCCCUAUCCAAUGCUAUAACACUAAAGUGAAUUUCACCCCUAUUGGUCAAAAUUUCCAUUUCUAAAAGUGCUUCUUUAUCUUCUUAUUUUUUCUGCUUCCCUGGGCUGAGUUGCUCUGAAGGAGGAAAAAAAAAUCCUUUUUAUGGGUUACAUUACUUAUGCAGCAGGCAUGAAACUGCAAACACCUGGUAGAGUUUCCCUUGUGUGAGCUGCAGCCUACCUCAGAGUACUUUGCAAACAUCUGAAACUCAUUCUGUGGAUCUCAAAGGCCCUCUCCAUCACUGAUUGAAUAUUUUUAUGAGAUUCAUUAUGGAACAGCUGUGAUUGAUACCGGUGAUCACACAAUAGAGGCUAUUAAUGUUUGAGAUGUGGUCACUGUCAUCCAGAAGAAUAAUUAUUAAAUUAAGGUAAACACAACAUGUAUCCCGAUUCCACACACAUUACGCCUUUUUUUGGCAGGGAACAUCUGGAUGAGGUGAUGCUUGCUGUAGGCAUGGGGAUGGUUGGAGUAUUGGCUCACAAGGAUGUUAAUUUUGGCUAGUGAACUGAGAAGUAAAAUAUCUGAAAGAAUUGCAAAAUUAAAUAUCAGAUUUAAAAUUGCUAAAUAAUAACUGAAUGGACAACAAAGUAUUCUGUGACUGUGCUUCUGUGUUUCUGUGCAUUUCCUGAACUAUUUCGUGUUUGUUACCAGGGAACCCCCAAAGUUUUCCCAUGCCAUACAGUCUGUAGGAUCUGUGUUGCCACGUUAUACUUGGACGCUCCAUGCCACUGUCCCUGUGGAAAAUAAUAAUAAUAUUUUUUGGGUGUCUCUUUCAAGAGACUCAGAUGCAGACAUGGUAUAUGUACCUGUAGAAUUUUUUUUCGUGUCUUUGUGUGUUUGUUUGCACGCACAUGCACAUGCAGCACUGUGUGUAGGGUGUGCAGGACAAGCAUUUGUGUGUGUGUACCUCAGAAUCUCUGUUAAGUGAGUAAGACUGUCAGACAAGGACAACAUCUAGGAAGAUAAUUAUCAUACAAGAGGAAUCAGCAAGCAAUCUAAUUCAUAACUUAAAAUUAUCUCUAGUAUCUGGAACACAGCCACUAGCAGCUGAAUGGUGCUAGACCACCAGAUUAAUAUGAGGGGUACUGUUUGGCAGUAUCACCCUCUGAAGAAGUCCAUAAAAAUGUAUAUUGAAAAGAAGAGAAAACAAGAGCUGAUUUUUUUUUCUUGCUGGAUUUCACCUUUAGUAGUUCUUGAUAUUUCAUCUUAGUAGAUACUCCAGUUUACAAUGGAUUUGUCAUAUGCUGUUUAAACUAAUUAAUUGAUCACAAACUGGCAGUGUAUUAGGGAUCUAAAAUCACCACUGUAAUUAUCUUCAUUGCCGCUGCUUGUAUAAUAUUUCAUGGUAUUGGCCAUUUAAAAGAAACCAGUCCAGACUGUUUCAUCUCAAUGGAAUUAUGUUGUUUUAUACCUGGUGGAUUCUAUGAGUAGGACAGAGGACAGAAAUUGGGUUUUUUUUUUCAUUGCAUUAAAAGAAUAAGACAAAACAUCAGAAAUUAUUAAAAAGUUCAAGCAUCACUCUUUAUUCAGUUUUUUGUAGGCAGACUCUUGCUUUUUUCCUUGUUUCCUACAUUUUUUUGUUCUUUAAAACCAGUAGGAUCUGCAGACAAGAUCUGCAGUUGUAAAGA